rnacentral:rRNA from 1 species
UACAGAGGUGGCAAGCGUUGUUCGGAUUCAUUGGGCGUAAAGGGUGCGUAGGCGGCGCCGUAAGUCAGAUGUGAAAUCUUCGGGCUCAACCCGGAAACUGCAUUUGAUACUGCGGUGCUUGAGGACUGGAGAGGAGAUCGGAAUUCACGGUGUAGCAGUGAAAUGCGUAGAUAUCGUGAGGAAGACCAGUGGCGAAGGCGGAUCUCUGGACAGUUCCUGACGCUGAGGCACGAAGGCCAGGGGAGCAAACGGG